CCAGACUCCUACGGGAGGCAGCAGUGGGGAAUAUUGCACAAUGGGGGAAACCCUGAUGCAGCAACGCCGCGUGAGUGAUGACGGCCUUCGGGUUGUAAAGCUCUGUCUUCAGGGACGAAGAUGACGGUACCUGGGGAGGAAGCUCCGGCUAACUACGUGCCAGCAGCCGCGGUAAUACGUAGGGAGCGAGCGUUGUCCGGAAUUACUGGGUGUAAAGGGAGCGUAGGCGGGACUGCAAGUUGGGUGUCAAAUCUACCGGCUCAACCGGUAGCCGCACUCAAAACUGCAGUUCUUGAGUGAAGUAGAGGCAGGCGGAAUUCCUAGUGUAGCGGUGAAAUGCGUAGAUAUUAGGAGGAACACCAGUGGCGAAGGCGGCCUGCUGGGCUUUUACUGACGCUGAGGCUCGAAAGUGUGGGGAGCAAACAGGAUUAGAUACCCGAGUAACG
rnacentral:rRNA from 1 species